rnacentral:rRNA from 1 species
AGAGUUUGAUCCUGGCUCAGGACGAACGCUGGCGGCGUGCUUAACACAUGCAAGUCGAACGGAGCACCCCUGAAGGAGUUUUCGGACAACGGAUGGGAAUGCUUAGUGGCGGACUGGUGAGUAACGCGUGAGGAACCUGCCUUCCAGAGGGGGACAACAGUUGGAAACGACUGCUAAUACCGCAUGAUGCGUUGGAGCCGCAUGACUCCGACGUCAAAGAUUUAUCGCUGGAAGAUGGCCUCGCGUCUGAUUAGCUAGUUGGUGAGGUAACGGCCCACCAAGGCGACGAUCAGUAGCCGGACUGAGAGGUUGGCCGGCCACAUUGGGACUGAGAUACGGCCCAGACUCCUACGGGAGGCAGCAGUGGGGAAUAUUGGGCAAUGGACGCAAGUCUGACCCAGCAACGCCGCGUGAAGGAAGAAGGCUUUCGGGUUGUAAACUUCUUUUAAGGGGGAAGAGCAGAAGACGGUACCCCUUGAAUAAGCCACGGCUAACUACGUGCCAGCAGCCGCGGU